UACGGAGGGUGCUAGCGUUGUCCGGAAUUACUGGGCGUAAAGGGCGCGUAGGCGGCCUGGUAAGUUGGGGGUGAAAUCCUGCGGCUUAACCGCAGGGCUGCCUUCUAAACUGUUAGGCUUGAGCACGGUAGAGGCAGAUGGAAUUCCCGGUGUAGCGGUGGAAUGCGUAGAGAUCGGGAAGAACAUCAGUGGCGAAGGCGGUCUGCUGGGCCGUUGCUGACGCUGAGGCGCGACAGCGUGGGGAGCAAACAGG
rnacentral:rRNA from 1 species